rnacentral:rRNA from 1 species
AGCUCCAAUAGCGUAUAUUAAAGUUGUUGCAGUUAAAAAGCUCGUAGUUGAACUUUGGGUCUGUUUGGCCGGUCCGAUUUUUUCGUGUACUGGAAUCCCAAGCGGACCUUUCCUUCUGGCUAACCUUGGGUCCUUGUGGCUCUUGGCGAACCAGGAUUUUUACUUUGAAAAAAUUAGAGUGUUCAAAGCAGGCGUAUUGCUCGAAUAUAUUAGCAUGGAAUAAUAGAAUAGGACGUUUGGUUCUAUUUUGUUGGUUUCUAGGACCAUCGUAAUGAUUAAUAGGGACGGUCGGGGGCAUCAGUAUUCAAUUGUCAGAGGUGAAAUUCUUGGAUUUAUUGAAGACUAACUACUGCGAAAGCAUUUGCCAAGGACGUUUUCA